UAUAUCCCCCAUAGCUCGGUGUCGAUCCCGAUCCCGUUCCUGGACCAUCUCGACCCCCCCACGUCCUGGUGGGACCCGGAGGCCGACAAGUCGCUGCUCAUCGGGGUCUUCAAACACGGGUACGAGAGGUACAACGCCAUGAGGGCUGACCCCAGUCUGUGCUUCUUGGAGAGGGUCGGGGGCCCGGACCCCAAAGAGCUGGAACAGGAGAUGAACAUGGACGGCAAUGACGGAGUGGAGUUGGACUGCGAAGACCCCGAAUAUAAACCCAUCCAUGGGGCCAACAAGGAGGGCGACGAGGAGGUGA